rnacentral:rRNA from 1 species
GACGAACGCUGGCGGCGUACUUAACACAUGCAAGUCGAACGAAGAGCGAUGGAAGCUUGCUUCUAUCAAUCUUAGUGGCGAACGGGUGAGUAACGCGUAAUCAACCUGCCCUUCAGAGGGGGACAACAGUUGGAAACGACUGCUAAUACCGCAUACGAUCUAAUCUCGGCAUCGAGGAAAGAUGAAAGGUGGCCUCUACAUGUAAGCUAUCACUGAAGGAGGGGAUUGCGUCUGAUUAGCUAGUUGGAGGGGUAACGGCCCACCAAGGCGAUGAUCAGUAGCCGGUCUGAGAGGAUGAACGGCCACAUUGGGACUGAGACACGGCCCAGACUCCUACGGGAGGCAGCAGUGGGGAAUCUUCCGCAAUGGACGAAAGUCUGACGGAGCAACGCCGCGUGAGUGAUGACGGCCUUCGGGUUGUAAAGCUCUGUUAAUCGGGACGAAAGGCCUUCUUGCAAAUAGUGAGAAGGAUUG